CAAGUGUCUUGAUUUGUAAGACAAAUUUUUAAACUAUUCAGAAAUUAAAUAAUUACUAUAGUUCUCUAAGAUAUUCUCUGUAUAAUAUUAUUCCGAUUACGUAAUUAAUUAUUUAUACGUAUUUACUAAUUAUAUGCAAUUAAUGCAAUCUUAAGUCUUAAGUCUAAGACAAGUAAGUCACAUUUCUUUAAAUCUUGCGAGGGUACGGAACACGCUGUAUGAAACAUUCUCUCUAUAUUUUUAUAUCGCAUUCAUGUGUACAAUAACACGUACUUGCAGUAACGUUUAUUUGUUCCGCUUUUAUCUCUAUAUCUUUAUAUCUCUAUGGUUCUAUAAUAAUUAAUUAUCACUUUCUCGCUUAUAACAUAUUUAUUAGCUUUAUCAUGAAAUUUAUUAUCAAACCAAUUAACCAAAGCAUAUGUUUUAGCUUAAUAACAAUAGGGAAAUCCAGAAAUUUGAUAUUACUGCUACAAGCCUCUCCUAAAUAUUCACAAAUAUUAUAUACAAUAAGGUUAUUAUAUAUAAAUACUGCUACCUGUCCAGUUAGAUUAAUCUCCAUGAAUUCAUACUGCUUUUCCCAUAGAUUUUCGUAUACUAUGUCACAAUUCAAUUUUCUUUCUGUACAAAAUCAUAAUACUUAUCCCUUAUCAUCCCAAUGCUCGAUAAUGGGACACAUAAAAGGAUGUUGAUUUUAAUAAAUUUCUUGCAUAAUCUUCUAUUACUUCUGCACUUAUUAUUUCAUAGCUUGACUACAUGGCCAGGUUGUGGAAGAAAUUCAGUGUCACACAGUGGAAUGAUAUAAAUAAGCAUUAGGGAUGACAAAUAAACAUUGGAACAAUGAUCUUGUAAUCUUUAAUGUGAAGUAGCAAUGUAAGAAAUGUAACGUAUCAAAUUAGUGGUUAAUGUAAAGUGGCUAAUGUAGAGUAUACUUUGCCACAUAAAAGAAACAAAUGUAAUAUUUUAUGCGAUAUGGAGACAAAACUCUAUAACUUGGUCAGAUCAGAUCAAACGAAGCAGCCAUACAAGAACCUUUUUGGAUUGCCUACCUAUUUCAUUAUUUGUUUUCUUCUAGACUAUAAAUAUAGGAUUAAAAUAUAUCAUCCUGGGAGUUUCAAAAAUCUGCUAGAUCAAAAUAUAUUAGCAUGCUAUAUUGCAGUGCAUAUUAGAAAAUACUUUUUGGUUACAAUAGAGUUCACAAAACUGUUACAGCAAGAAUAAUAGCUUUAUAUUUGAACUAUUCAUUGGACUCAACUUUUGAACCUUGUGGAUCAUGUGGAAACUGUCUAGCAAUAAAAAAUUCAAGUCACCCAAAUGUGACUGAAGCUGAUGCAACAAGUCACACUAGCAUUGAGGAUAUUAAAAUGAAGUACACUUGUUAUCGUUCUUAAAGAGGAUAAGAUGAUCACUUACCAUCUGCAUCGAUUAUUAUCGAUUGAGCACAAAAGAAUUUUUGGAGAACGGUAUUAUAGGCAAAAGCGUUUUACCAUACCCGAGUCCGAUAAUUCAUGUCAAAAAGAAAAAUGUUUAAAAUAGGAUGAUUAAAAAAAGAUUUCUUAUAUCAUUUCAUAUUUUUUCUUCAUGCUUCCAUCAAUCAAUUCAAAUAAUCGAUUAUAAUCCAUAACAUAAUUUGGUUUCCUAAUCAUUUCUUUUGUGCGAUAAUGAAUCUUCAUGUCAACGAAUUCUUGAGUGUGAAAAGUAGACAACAUUAUACACUUUCUUUUUGUUACACCAUUUCAUAGCUAACAAAUCAUUUGAGGAACGAAAACUCGCUUCAACCGUUUUUAAUUUAUUAUCGAUAAUUUGCAUGCCUUUCUUUGUAUCCUCAAACGUCCGAAAAUAAAAAUUUUUAUUUUUUUGCAAUUGAAAUGUAUUAAAUAAAGGCAAUUUAGAGCAAUAAAGGCAAUAGAGCUUGCUGGUUAUUUUCGUAAAUUUGUACCUGUAUUACCAAGCUUACAGAAAACAAUGAACCGUGAGCCUGGGGCACCGAACAGAGGAAACACGGUAAUAUGUAAAAUUGCUAUUAUAAUAACCGUUACUUGUGAUAUUCGAUCCUGCUAAAGAAACAAAAUUACAUGGAAAAACGAGCUCGAUAGGCUACAGGGUUAUUCUAUUUCAAAAGAUGAACGGAAAGCAGCGAGCAUUUGCAUAUUCAAUCGGGGACAACGACGGAGGAGUCCAAGUACCAAUCGUAUAAGCUCGAAAUAAUACCGAUACUUGAUCGAUAUUGACGCUCAAGGCAUACUGGAUCUUUAAUUAUGUUUUUUAUGUUUACAAAUAUAUUUUUAUUUUAUGAAUUUGGGCCUAAAGUAAUAUAUGCUACCAGAAAGAAAAUAAGUACCCCCGUAGUUUUAGUUCUUUCACGGUUCAGCGUACUGCACCAUGCGAAUAAAUGCUGAGUUUCACUAAAAUUAGCAUGUACAAAAACUUAUAAAAUUAGGAAUCUACCCUGUUUGGUUGUAGUUACUAGACAAGAACCUAUUAAGUUCCACGCUACAAGAACCUUGUAUGGUUCUACGGUAAAGUGCAUACCUACUUUUCUAUCUGAGAUAAUUAGUAAUAAAACUCUUUAGCCAAUUAUCAUCUGUUUCAUUACCUUCUAUUAAGGCAUCAUGCCCACUCCCUAUGUGCCCUAGAAUACUAGAGUUCUUCACAAGAACUGCAAUGAUAUAUACGUGAUGUAUAAUCCAAUGUAGUCGCGCUAACGACCUCCUAUUAUUACGCAAUUAAUACGAUUAUAAAUAAGCGACACAAACGAACAAUUCCCAGGACUUGAACUAUAACUUUAAAUUAUUUAUUACGGUAGUAUAAACUAGCUAUCUGAUCUUGAAUCAGAAAAAAAGGGACAGGAUUUGAAAAUCGGAAACGAAAAAACAAAUCAAUGUUCUAGUGCCAAUCAAGUUGAAAAAAACAGAUUUCCGGAAUUUGGCAUUAAAAAAACCAAGUUGGUAACUCUGUAUUAUGGAGCAUUACCAGAUUAAAGGAAAAUGGCGGAUCAAAAUACACCCAUUGUCACUCUAAUCUCCUCAUCGCAUCUACAUAUCAAUGCAACCAAAUAACGUUGUCUUUACUGGCCGUAUGCGGAGAGACGUAAAACGAGUGACAUAACCGACGUAGGAGUAGAAUGACAAUAGGGGAAUGUGGACAAUUUUUCCUGGCAACCCUGAAUUGCCUCCAUGUUUUAAAAGAACGUUUACCGAACUUUACUGCAUCAGUGUAUGAUAGCAGGGAGGAAAUAACCAUUAAGAGAAUAAAAUAACAUAAGUAUUCGAAACCUUUUGAAAUUCCUAGAAAUGACGUUAUUUUCUAAAAAAAUCCGAGAGUAAAACACUUGUCGGCCAAAAUAGCGAUUUUAUAUUAGGAAAAUGUAAUAGUAUAGAAGGUGACAUAAUUUCGGCGACUCUUGGAAAUUACGUCAUAUUCCAAGAAUUUUUCGAAACCGGAAUUAAAACCGAAUGAAUUAACUAUUUCCCGAUCUCUUUUUUCGAUUUUUUGUGAGUUUUUGUGGGAUUGGGUAAUCAAAAAUUGUAAAACACUGUUCAGCUAUUCUGACUUAUUGAAACUCUUUCUAAAUAUAUUCUAUAUAAUCUUUUUUUUAAUAAAUAAUCUCAUUUUUUAUUGCAUUAUAUCAUCAUUUCCAAAAAAAUCCUUGUUGUUGCUUGUAGUAUCCUGAUUGUUGUUUUUGUCCUCAAAGUAGCUUUUUCUGUAAUCAAUACGGAAAAGAAGCAAUGUUUUUUCUAUUAUUUGAUUAAAGUUUAAAGCAAUUUUUAUGUUUUAUCGUCUUUAGACUUCGUUGGUCGUAAGUACGAGUGCAAAUUUCUGUUCUCAUCGUGUAUGUGCACGUUUUUCCCACCAAGAGCAUCAGAGAAAAAAUGUGUCUAUAGUUCGGCCGUUGUCAGCUAGAGGCUUGUAUUCUUAGUGCGCAUUUUUUAACAUUGCAUCUGUGAUCUCGCUAUUCAUCUUUGAUCAUUCUAAUACAUACAUAUGUACAUAUCAAUGGAUUGUAUUAUUAAUCAUCGUAAUAUUUAUAUUAACGUAAUCAUUAAAAAAUGCAUCAGUGUUAAUCGUUAGAAAUAUAGUUGUUAAGUGGGUGUAAAGCGAAUACGCCUAUCAUAAAUAAUGAUAGAAAAAUGGAGUAAUAUUUGGGAAUAUAUAUAUGCAUUUCUAAACUCAACUACAUUUUGAUUGUAUAUAAUGUGGAAUUUUUUAUGUAGAUAUUUUUGUACAUUUUGGAUUAUCUAUUUACAUAUGUUGAUUUUAUUAAAAGUUUUUCUUAAGUAA